GAUGAACGCUGGCGGCGUGCCUAAUACAUGCAAGUCGAGCGAACAGAUAAGGAGCUUGCUCCUUUGACGUUAGCGGCGGACGGGUGAGUAACACGUGGGUAACCUACCUAUAAGACUGGGAUAACUUCGGGAAACCGGAGCUAAUACCGGAUAAUAUUUCGAACCGCAUGGUUCGAUAGUGAAAGAUGGUUUUGCUAUCACUUAUAGAUGGACCCGCGCCGUAUUAGCUAGUUGGUAAGGUAACGGCUUACCAAGGCGACGAUACGUAGCCGACCUGAGAGGGUGAUCGGCCACACUGGAACUGAGACACGGUCCAGACUCCUACGGGAGGCAGCAGUAGGGAAUCUUCCGCAGUGGGCGAAAGCCUGACGGAGCAACGCCGCGUGAGUGAUGAAGGUCUUCGGAUCGUAAAACGCUGUUAUUAGGGAAGAACAUACGUGUAAGUAACUGUGCACGUCUUGACGGUACCUAAUCAGAAAGCCACGGCUAACUACGU
rnacentral:rRNA from 1 species